rnacentral:rRNA from 1 species
GAUGAACGCUGGCGGCGUGCCUAAUACAUGCAAGUCGAGCGAACAGACGAGGAGCUUGCUCCUCUGACGUUAGCGGCGGACGGGUGAGUAACACGUGGAUAACCUACCUAUAAGACUGGGAUAACUUCGGGAAACCGGAGCUAAUACCGGAUAAUAUAUUGAACCGCAUGGUUCAAUAGUGAAAGACGGUUUUGCUGUCACUUAUAGAUGGAUCCGCGCCGCAUUAGCUAGUUGGUAAGGUAACGGCUUACCAAGGCAACGAUGCGUAGCCGACCUGAGAGGGUGAUCGGCCACACUGGCACUGAGACACGGUCCAGACUCCUACGGGAGGCCACAGUAGGGAAUCUUCCGCAAUGGGCGAAAGCCUGACGGAGCAACGCCGCGUGGGUGAUGAAGGUCUUCGGAUCGUAAAACUCUGUUAUUAGGGAAGAACAAAGGUGUAAGUGACUGUGCACGUCUUGACGGUACCUAAUCAGAAAGCAACGGCUAACUACGUG